rnacentral:rRNA from 1 species
AGUGAACGCUGGCGGUAGGCCUAACACAUGCAAGUCGAACGGCAGCACAGUAAGAGCUUGCUCUUACGGGUGGCGAGUGGCGGACGGGUGAGGAAUACAUCGGAAUCUACUUUUUCGUGGGGGAUAACGUAGGGAAACUUACGCUAAUACCGCAUACGGCCUACGGGUGAAAGCAGGGGAUCUUCGGACCUUGCGCGAUUGAAUGAGCCGAUGUCGGAUUAGCUAGUUGGCGGGGUAAAGGCCCACCAAGGCGACGAUCCGUAGCUGGUCUGAGAGGAUGAUCAGCCACACUGGAACUGAGACACGGUCCAGACUCCUACGGGAGGCAGCAGUGGGGAAUAUUGGACAAUGGGCGCAAGCCUGAUCCAGCCAUACCGCGUGGGUGAAGAAGGCCUUCGGGUUGUAAAGCCCUUUUGUUGGGAAAGAAAAGCAGCAGGUUAAUACCCCGCUAUUCUGACGGUACCCAAAGAAUAAGCACCGGCUAACUUCGUG